rnacentral:rRNA from 1 species
GUGUCAGCCGCCGCGGUAAUACGAAGGGGGCUAGCGUUGUUCGGAAUGACUGGGCGUAAAGCGCACGUAGGCGGACAUUUAAGUCAGGGGUGAAAUCCCGGGGCUCAACCUCGGAACUGCCUUUGAUACUGGGUGUCUGGAGUGUGGAAGAGGUGAGUGGAAUUCCGAGUGUAGAGGUGAAAUUCGUAGAUAUUCGGAGGAACACCAGUGGCGAAGGCGGCUCACUGGUCCACAACUGACGCUGAGGUGCGAAAGCGUGGGGAGCAAACAGGAUUAGAUACCCUUGUAGUCC